rnacentral:rRNA from 1 species
UUAUGGCUCAGGAUGAACGCUAGCUACAGGCUUAACACAUGCAAGUCGAGGGGCAGCAUUGGAGUAGCAAUACUCAGAUGGCGACCGGCGCACGGGUGAGUAACACGUAUCCAACCUGCCGCUUACUCGGGGAUAGCCUUUCGAAAGAAAGAUUAAUACCCGAUGGUAUAAAGAGUUCGCAUGUUCUCUUUAUUAAAGAAUUUCGGUAAGCGAUGGGGAUGCGUUCCAUUAGAUAGUUGGCGGGGUAACGGCCCACCAAGUCUACGAUGGAUAGGGGUUCUGAGAGGAAGGUCCCCCACAUUGGAACUGAGACACGGUCCAAACUCCUACGGGAGGCAGCAGUGAGGAAUAUUGGUCAAUGGACGAGAGUCUGAACCAGCCAAAGUAGCGUGAAGGAUGACUGCCCUAUGGGUUGUAAACUUCUUUUAUAAGGGAAUAAAGUGAGGGACGUGUCCCUUUUUGUAUGUACCUUAUGAAUAAGGAUCGGCUAACUCCGUGCCAGCCGCCGC